rnacentral:rRNA from 1 species
GACGCCCAGGAUUUCCAGUCACGACGUGGUAAUGACUGCAGUGAAUGUAUACGACUCACUAUAGGCGAUGUCUGACGUCGCAUGCUCCCUGACGCAUGACGCGGGAUGGGUCGAUCCGGAGAGGGAGCUGAGAACGGCUACCACACUAAGGAAGGCAGCAGGCGCGCAAAUUACCAAUCGUGACACAGGGAGGUAGUGACAAGAAAUAACAAUACAGGGCAUCCAUGUCUUGUAAUUGGAAUGAGUGGGAUUUAAAUCCCCCUACGAGUAUCAAUUGGAGGGCAAGUCUGGUGCCAGCAGCCGCGGUAAUUCCAGCUCCAAUAGCGUAUAUUAAAGUUGUUGCGGUUAAAACGCUCGUAGUCGGAUUUCGGGGCGGGCCGACCGGUCUGCCGAUGGGUAUGCACUGGCCGGCGCGUCCUUCCUUCCGGAGACUGCGCCUACUCUUAGCUGAGCGGGCGUGGGAGACGGAUCGUUUACUUUGAAAAAAUCAGAGUGUUUCAAGCAGGCAGCUCGCUCUUGCAUGGAUUAGCAUGGGAUAAUGAAAUAGGACUCUGGUGCUAUUUUGUUGGUUUCGAACACCGGAGUAAUGAUUAACAGGGACAGUCAGGGGCACUCGUAUUCCGUCGAGAGAGGUGAAAUUCUCAGACCAACGGAAGACGAACCACUGCGAAAGCAUUUGCCAGGGAUGUUUUCACUGAUCAAGAACGAAAGUUAGGGGAUCGAAGACGAUCAGAUACCGUCGUAGUCUUAACCAUAAACCAUGCCGACUAGGGAUUGGAGGAUGUUCCUUUUGUGACUCCUUCAGCACCUUUCGGGAAACUAAAGUCUUUGGGUUCCGGGGGGAGUAUGGUCGCAAGGCUGAAACUUAAAGGAAUUGACGGAAGGGCACCACCAGGAGUGGAGCCUGCGGCUUAAUUUGACUCAACACGCA